UUGUCAGUACCCCCCCCUGCAGGACGGCGAACAUGAAGAACCUCACUAGCACGUAGACGGCGGCCAGCAGGUGGCUCCACACGCUCAGCGUCUCGUUGUGGAUCUGGAAGAGACUGAGGACAGAACAGCGCCAGGACAAGUCCACCGGACGAUACCCGGACAGGAUGAACUGCUCCCGGAACAGAGGGGGGACGUCCACGUCUCGCACCGUCGGGGGAAGGGAGGGGAGGAGGCGCUCCAGCAGAGGGAGAAAGAAACUGGAACUGAGCUGUUGCUGCUAGGUCCUGCUGCACAGCCACAACUGUCACAUGUGCAGCCCACGGCCACCGACAGGUAGGACGCGGUGUAGCAGAGCGCCCCCUGCGGGCGGUUCAGGACCAGGACGCUCUGGUAGACGGGGACUGACAU